UACGUAGGGGGCUAGCGUUGUCCGGAUUUAUUGGGCGUAAAGAGCGUGUAGGCGGCCAGAUAAGUCCGCUGUGAAAUCUCGAGGCUCAACUUCGAGCUGUCGGUGGAAACUAUCUGGCUAGAGUCCGGAAGAGGAGAAUGGAAUUCCUGGUGUAGCGGUGAAAUGCGCAGAUAUCAGGAAGAACACCCGUGGCGAAGGCGGUUCUCUGGGACGGUACUGACGCUGAGACGCGAAAGCGUGGGGGAGCGAACAGG
rnacentral:rRNA from 1 species